CCUACGGGUGGCUGCAGUGGGGAAUUUUACGCAAUGGGGGAAACCCUGACGUAGCGACACCGCGUGAGCGAUGAAGCCCCUUGGGGUGUAAAGCUCUGUCGGCUGGGACGAAAAAAAUGACGGUACCAGCAAAGGAAGCAUCGGCUAACUACGUGCCAGCAGCCGCGGUAAGACGUAGGAUGCAAGCGUUGUCCGGAUUCAUUGGGCGUAAAGCGUUCGUAGGUGGUUUAUUAAGUCUGAUGUUAAAGAUCGGGGCUCAACCUCGGGAGUGCAUUGGAUACUGGUAGACUUGAGUAUGGUAGAGGCGAGUGGAAUUCCCAGUGUAGCGGUGAAAUGCGUAGAUAUUGGGAAGAACACCGGUGGCGUAAGCGACUCGCUGGGCCAUAACUGACACUGAGGAACGAAAGCCAGGGGAGCAAAUGGGAUUAGAUACCCGAGUAGUC
rnacentral:rRNA from 1 species